UAUUGCGCCAGCAUAUCCUCAUUUAAGUAUAAACGACUUUAACAUAUGGUCGAUAGCUUUAAUCAAACUUGAAAGGGCCACUGUUGAAGACCAACGGGAAGAUCAACGGGCUGUUCGGAAAUUGCAACGGUCAACAUUAAUAAGAUGAAGAUAGUUAUUGUCUUCGUAGUUUUACUGGCAGUUGGGAUAGACUGCGGGUUAAAGAAGUUGGUGAGCAACAAUCCAAGUAAAAUAUGUCAAGGAGAUUUGGAGUGGUAUUCCUGCGGUUCCGCGUGUCCGCCGGUUUGCGGGAAAGAGGAGCAAUUGCUUUGCGCCCAGGUGUGUGUCUCUGGCUGUGCUUGUCCCCGGGACAAGAAAAUUCGGGUCAGCGAAACCAGCACCCAGUGUGUGAAGAGUAGGGAGGAAUGUCCGCAGUGAAACGACAAUCACUAUUAUCUCAAUAUUCUGUCAACAAGUAUGAUUUCAAUCAAAAUGAAAUUUAAUAAACAGCAUUGAGAUUAACUGCAAUAUUUUGUCAUUUUUGGGCUUUAUUACAUAAGAUGCUGAUUUUGUUUACCUCAGUACUCUAGUAACGAAACGCAAAUACAACACAGAAAGACGACAACAAAUGAUCCAUAUUAGAUGUCAGAUUUGCAUGAUAUAAAAUUGUCGUUAUGCUUGUAUGUAUAAUUUAAUUUUGUCUCCACGUUUAUGUUGGGGAAUCAAUACGGGGAGCGAUAAACGGAUAUGACAGAAUCAUCUUGUGCAGGGUGCAUUUUAGCUGGAGUAGUGAAUGACAUUGUUAUGAUGUAAUCAAGGGCGGUGACUGGUGAUCACGUGUACUGUGUUAUGUGACAUUGCCCCAGCAUAUCCUCCUUCUAGUAUAGACGACUGUAACAUAUUGUCGGUAACUUCGGUUUUUGAUCAGUUUAAGUCAACUUCGAAAGGGCUACUGUUGAAGCCAAAUACAAAAAUCAAUCGGUUGUUUGGACAUUGCUACGGUCAACUCUGAUAAGAUGAAGAUUGUAAUUGUUUUUGUACUCUUACUGGCAGUUGGGAUGGACUGUAGACGGAAGGAAUUGAAACCAACCGAGCCAACUAAAAUAUGCCCGGGAGAUUUGGAGUGGUUUUCCUGCGGUUCCGCGUGUCCGCAGAUUUGCGGGAAAGAGGAACAAUUGUUCUGCAUCAUGGUGUGUGUAUCUGGAUGUGCUUGCCCCCAGGACAAGAAAAUCCGGGUCAGCGAGACCAGCACCCAAUGUGUGAAGAGUAGGGAGGACUGUCCGUAGUGAAACGACAAUCACUUUCGUCUCAAUACUUUGUCACCGAGUAUGAUUUUAAUUAUAUUGAAAUAUAAUAAACGGAAUUGAUAUUA